ensembl:snRNA U4 U4 spliceosomal RNA
AGCUUUUACAGUGGCAGUAUCAUAGCCAAUGAGGUUUAUCUGAGGCAUGAUUAUUGCUAAUUGAAAACUUUAUUUCUUGGGAAAAUAGAAUAUAGCUAUAUCGCUGACAUAGAUGCCCAAGUUACUGUUUUAAAAUAAGUUUA